ensembl:lncRNA
CCUACUCCCUAACAAGAGCCUCAACUCACCCGCCAGCUACCUUAUCCAGACGCUGUCAACCGAGGGACGCUGGGAGGUGUCAUACAAGCUAAAUGUGCGCAAGCGCAGCCUGUGCCAGCGACAACAGAAAAACCUAAUCUGAGAAAGGCGGGGCUUAAGGGGCGUGUACUCGGCGAAGUCUGCGACAGAGAACAAUAUGAAUCUAACCCUGCAACUGAGGUAAAGAGUAGAUGUAUUGUAAGGGUCCACGACUUGCAAACACUGAUACCCCAUCCUCAAAUAAUCUGCCAUGUCGAAGAGAAUUUAUUCUGCAGAGAACCUGCAAGCUGGAGUCCACCAUACAUCAGGAUGGAAGACACAUGUGGACUUUGCAGGAAGAAGAAAACUAUGGUGAAAACUGGAAGGCACUCAGGAGGGUCACCAGCAAGAAAUGUACGCCUCUGCUUGCCCCCUUCCUAGUCACUGCUCAGCAUUCUUGUCAGGGUUCCCGGCAUGGUGUAUGUGGGUCACACACAAGUAUCCCAUGGUGACAGCUGGAAAGGCAGUGGCUCUGUUGUGUGACUCCAUGGGGGAAGAUCUUCUUUCCCACACUCUAGCCAAGCAAUCUGUUGGGGAGCAUGGAGAGCCAAAUGUUUGUUUGUAGGCGACCAAGACAUUGCCAAGAUUACCCUUGGAAGCAUGCUGAUGUUUACUACACUCUAACUUGUGUUAUAGGCCCAGUGCCUACAAUUACCAUCAUUUCCUGGUUCGUCUUUUAUUCACUGUGAUUAAUUAUCUUUCUAAUAUAUCCUUGCCCGAUG